UACGUAGGGCGCAAGCGUUAUCCGGAAUUAUUGGGCGUAAAGAGCUCGUAGGCGGUCUGUCGCGUCGGCUGUGAAAAUCCCGAGGCUCAACCUCGGGUCUGCAGUCGAUACGGGCAAACUAGAGUAUUGCAGGGGAGACUGGAAUUCCUGGUGUAGCGGUGAAAUGCGCAGAUAUCAGGAGGAACACCGGUGGCGAAGGCGGGUCUCUGGGCAAUAACUGACGCUGAGGAGCGAAAGCGUGGGGAGCGAACAGG
rnacentral:rRNA from 1 species